AAUGAACGCUGGCGGCAUGCCUUACACAUGCAAGUCGAACGGUAACAGUGAGCUUGCCCCGCUGACGAGUGGCGAACGGGUGAGUAAUGUAUCGGAACGUACCUUUCAGUGGGGGAUAACGUAGCGAAGGUUACGCAAAUACCGCAUAUUCUGUGAGGAGGAAACCAGGGGACCUUCGGGGCUUGCGCUAAUAGAGCGGCUGAAAUCAGAUUAGCUAGUUGGUGAGGUAAAGGGUCACCAAGGCGACGAUCUGUAGCGGGUCGGAGAGGAUGAUCCGCGACACUGGACCUGAAACACGGUCCAGACUCCUACGGGAGGCAGCAGUGGGGAACUUUGGACAAUGGUGGGAACCCUGAUCCAGCCAUGCCGCGUGAGUGAAGAAGACGUUCGGGUUGUAAAGCUCUUUCUGCUGGGAAAAAAUCCCAUGGGCUAAUACCCUGUGUGGAUGAUGGUACCGGAAGAAGAAGCACCGGCUAACUACGUGCCAGCCGCCGCAGUAA
rnacentral:rRNA from 1 species